GAGUUGGUUGUAAGCCCUCCGCUUUCAGCGUUAAAGACUUUCUUUAAACAGUGACAGGAGGAGCUGGCUGAACUGCCUUACAUAAGCAUUAUAUGCCUUAUCAUAAGGCCUUCAUUAAGUAUCUUGUCCCUUGAAGCCUACCAAGUUCUUGACUCUGCUCUUCAGAGAUUGAAUUGCAAGGCAUUGGCUCUCUGUUAAAGGAAGAGUAACAUACAGAUGGGCUGACUUUACUACCUUUUCACUCCUUAGUCUACAGCAACUCAGGUCAUGCCAAUGAAAUGCUGUAUAUCCGUAUUCAGUACUUGAAAAAUUCAGCAAAUUAUUGGAAUGAAUAGAAGCUGAAAACUUGGAUUCGCAAUAGGCAGUAAAUGAUGAUGACUGCACCAGGGCUGAUCAUAGAGAGAAGUGAUACCUGCUGUUUUACUAACAGAUAUGGAAAGAAUAUGAUAGAGAGACCUUCUGUCAUUGUUGCCAUCAGCAAGGAGCGAAUGAAGUACGGUACAGUCAUAGGCCAUCAGUUGGAAGAUCAUGGCCUUGUGUAAACUAUAUACCUUACAUCGGAGUUGCAUUGUACAUGCAAUCCAAGAAGUGAGAUGAUGGUUCCUCACUUUCUGUCCUUGUUGCUCCAUCAAAUGUAGCACUUUGGUGUUGCACUGCAAUCAUGCUUCAUGAAUCUAUCAAAGGCCUUGGUGAACAAACUGAUCCUUCAGCUGGAGCUGGUGCAAUGUAUCAAGCAAACAGAGGCCAAGUACAAGCACUGCCAUCCAUACCUCAAGUAAACCUUUACCUUUUCCAAAACCAAGCAGAAAUGGUCUAGGCCAGUCAACUAUCGUCAGGUUAAACCUGCCUUAUUGGGUGGUAGGCCAUCAGUGAUCUUCUUCCAACACCCGCUGUUCAUGAUAAACCAGUGCAGCACCGAUGGGGAGCUAAACCAAAGCUUUUCUUCAACUAAGAAGACGCUGCUGACACCAAGAUUAAUGGUGGAAUGUGCUUAGCAGGAUGCCAGCAGCACUUUUCCAAGGCAGCGGAGAGCAUGACAGACUUGUAUUGCUAAUGCCUAUGCACUCUCCUUCUGGUGCAGUCAGUCCUGUGAGAACUUCAGAAAGUACAAGAUGACUUUUCUAUUAAAACAAAUUUUCAUAAAGGUUGGUGUUGUAGCUUCAUAAUUCUAAAUUAGAAGCUGUUGAACAGUUGCAAAAUAAAACUUACCUGUUCUA